AAGAGCCAGUGCUCUGAGGAGAUGCCCAUGAGAAAACACCAAGAAGGCAACAGGAACAUAAUACAAAAAUUUCGCAAAAAUACUCUCCUGGGAUGCUUAUGGACCUGCAGAUGUUCCUAGCUGAUAAAAUCCUGGGUCUGGAGCACAGAUGGAAAGUGAAUGUUUAUAAGGGUUCUGUGUGGAGAAAUGAAGGGCACAACAGCCAGUAAACACGAAGCUGUUUUCUUCAGUGCUUACUGUAGUCAUGGGGAAAAUUUCAGAAAUUACUAGCUGGGUGCAAUUUGUCUCAGAGCAGUGCAGAGCUGUGUUGUUACAUCGUACAGCUGGAGUAAACUUUCCAUCUUCAGAAGUCACUGGUGCCAUUUGUGACUGCAAUCUGCAGCAUAAGGUCUUUCUUACCCUCGGCUGCAGCCUGAACGCCGAGAUGGCAGGAGAGAGCAGGAACACCUUUCCCUCAUUCACGCACAGCAAGGACUUCCUUUCCAUAUGUAGGUAUUACCAGUUUUCACUGGUACCAGACUGAAUUCCUGCAGAUGGCUUUACAAGGAGCUGUCCUUGAAAAUCACUGGAAAAUUUGGCUAGCUGAUGCUUCAGCUGCCAUAUUUCCCACAGAGUACCAGAUCUGUCUCCAUAAGGGAUGGUGACUUCUUGUUAAAUUACUUGUCCUGUUAGUUACAAUCUAAUUAAGUAGACCUGUCUCGUUAAUUUGUAUUAAAUCCCAUAUAUCCAAGGUACUGUCUCUCCCUUCACACUUAUAUAAGUCCCUGCCUGGUGAGUUCAGCCAGAAUGAUUCAGACUGACAUUUCCAAAUUAAAUUAGAAGUCUGUGGAUUUUAAAUGGACAGUCUCAUGCUCAGGAACUGUGGACCUUUGACUUUGAAAUGCACUUUUCUUUUUGGCCUGAUGUAGCAUAAGCUUGUUGGAAUGCAAGUCCCAGCACAAAUUUAUCUAUUUAUUCAUGUUGUUUCUCAGGGGAAAAUUUCAGGGAAAUCAGGGGAUUUCAUGGCAGUGGAGUUUUAUCAAAAUUAAUCUAACUGGAUAGAAUUGAUGUAAGUGGAUGUUGUAAACAUUGUGGAGCAUUUUGG